UGCAUGUCUGCCAUUGUGGUACCAUCUGCCAUGAGGUAAUGCAGCCAGCAUGGCCCUUUGCAGAGCCAGAGCAAUACUGAUUGGACUUUCAACCACCAAAACUAAUGUGGGCUCAUCUCGCUGUGGGUACCAGAUCAUCAUUACAUUGCAUUUGUGUGACGCCAGCAUUUGGAAAGGGAGUUCCCAGUUCUGACUCAGACCAAGCCGUGAGCAAGCCCAGCCCCUGCUGCUUCUAAGUAGUGGAAUCCUGAGCCAUUCCUGAACUUCCCUGGACUAUUUGAACAUCCAAAAAACAAUAAGACAUUACAUGGUGGAUUAGUGGCACAAAAUCCCAGACCUUUCUACUCUGGACGCUUGUACACCAUUCCCUAUGUUGGGGUUUCUCAAAGAAUUUCUCUGCUGAAGAUUCUGCUUUAGAAAGUAUGAGAAAAACACCAAGUGCCUAUUCUAAGAAUUUUGAAAAGGAAAAAAUGUCGCCUGGCUAAGAGCAGAGAGUAUGGCCGGGUUGGGCCAGCUGGAUGACCGCCAUCCUAGAAGAUUCUCAAGAAUCCAUUUUUCCUGGCCCUCAGACUUGUAGCUUCAGAAACUUGCCUGUGUCUGUGUCCCAGAGCUAGGUGGAUUAAAGGAUGCUAAUUUGUUCACACAGUGUUCACAAGAGAUAGAAGUAUGAGAUUGGAAGGGAAAUGCAUGUGUUCUACCUUCCUCUGUUUGAAGAAUCCUCUGCCUUAAAAGCCAGAGCCCAAUUCCCAAGGUUAAAACUGAAGUUAGCAGAUAAUCUUUCCCAGGUUUCUUUGAAGUCAGGGCUUAGAUGCUCCAUCUGGGCCCUGCGGAUCAGAUGUACCCCACCACCCCAGAUUUUUAAUCAGAAACUGGUGAUGGCAAGAAGCAAGGACACAGAGACACAAAGACUGAUUAUUGAGUGGUGGUGGCAAUGGUGGUGGGGACAGAUGCAUUCAGAUUCCAGAGGCAGUAGUUGUAACCCAUGCUGGCCUGUGUCUUUGGUGACAACAAGGUAUUUUCCUGCACCAGUACACAAAAUGAUUUUUAGGCUAUGUUCCUGGUAGCAGAACUGAUUGGCCAUGUUG